GAAAUGCGAUAAGUAAUGUGAAUUGCAGAAUUCAGUGAAUCAUCAAAUCUUUGAACGCACAUUGCGCUCGCUGGUAUUCCGGCGAGCAUGCCUGUUUGAGAAUCGAUAAACCAAAUCACCUUUGUUGGUGGACUUGAGCUUACCUGGACGCGUUAACUCACGACCUAGUUUGUUUGAAAUAGAAUGCUGGUCUUGGCUAUAUCUCGCUUUGACAGACUUACGCGUCUUAAUGGAGUAAUCCUCAUUCGCUAACACGUCUGACUUUGCAUAUGACAUAUACCGAAGCUAGUCUCGCACCUAGUGUUGAGUAUGAAGGGCCAGUUCAUUUUGAGCUGGAUAACCUGUAAACUUGGUCUCAAAUCAGGCAGGAAGACCCGCUGAACUUAA
rnacentral:misc_RNA from 1 species